rnacentral:rRNA from 1 species
UGGGGAAUUUUGGACAAUGGGCGAAAGCCUGAUCCAGCAAUGCCGCGUGUGUGAAGAAGGCCUUCGGGUUGUAAAGCACUUUUGUCCGAAAAGAAAUCCUUGGCUCUAAUACAGUCGGGGGAUGACGGUACCGGAAGAAUAAGCACCGGCUAACUACGUGCCAGCAGCCGCGGUAAUACGUAGGGUGCAAGCGUUAAUCGGAAUUACUGGGCGUAAAGCGUGCGCAGGCGGUUUGCUAAGACCGAUGUGAAAUCCCCGGGCUCAACCUGGGAACUGCAUUGGUGACUGGCAGGCUAGAGUAUGGCAGAGGGGGGUAGAAUUCCACGUGUAGCAGUGAAAUGCGUAGAGAUGUGGAGGAAUACCGAUGGCGAAGGCAGCCCCCUGGGCCAAUACUGACGCUCAUGCACGAAAGCGUGGGGAGCAAACAGGAUUAGAUACCCUGGUAGUCCACGCCCUAAACGAUGUCAACUAGUUGUUGGGGAUUCAUUUCCUUAGUAACGUAGCUAACGCGUGAAGUUGACCGCCUGGGGAGUACGGUCGCAAGAUUAAAACUCAAAUGAAUUGAC